CCCUGCAAUCCUCGGUGGUGGAAGGACAUGCGCCAAACUGCUAUCGGCCUCAGGCCCAGCCGCCACUACAUUUGCCCAGUAUGCAGUUAGGGAGAUAUAUCUCUGUGCCUACCAUGGUGACCAUAGGUAACAGGGAAUCAGUGUUCGAUUCCAGAGAGGGAGCCUGAGAAACGGCUACCACAUCCAAGGAAGGCAGCAGG